rnacentral:rRNA from 1 species
UGAGACACGGUCCAGACACCUACGGGUGGCAGCAGUCGAGAAUCAUUCACAAUGGGGGAAACCCUGAUGGUGCGACGCCGCGUGGGGGAUGAAGGUCUUCGGAUUGUAAACCCCUGUCAUUUGUGAACAAACCUUUUGGUUUAAUAGAUCAAAAGCUGAUAGUAGCAAAAGAGGAAGGGACGGCUAACUCCGUGCCAGCAGCCGCGGUAAUACGGAGGUCCCAAGCGUUGUUCGGAUUUACUGGGCGUAAAGGGUGCGUAGGUGGCCAGGAAAGUUUGAUGUGAAAGCUCCGAGCUCAACUCGGAAAAUGCAUUGAAUACUACUUGGCUUGAGGAUCGGAGGGGAGACUGGAAUUCUCGGUGUAGCAGUGAAAUGCGUAGAUAUCGAGAGGAACACCAGUGGCGAAGGCGAGUCUCUGGACGAUUCCUGACACUGAGGCACGAAAGCUAGGGGAGCAAACAGGAUUAGAUACCCUGGUAGUCCUAGCCGUAAACGGUGCACACUUGCUGUAGGAGGAUUCGACCCCUUCUGUGGCGGAGCAAACGCGUUAAGUGUGCCGCCUGGGGAGUACGGUCGCAAGAUUAAAACUCAAAGAAAUUGACGGGGGCCUGCACAAGCGGUGGAGUAUGUGGCUUAAUUCGAUGCAACGCGAAGAACCUUACCUGGCCUUGACAUGCAUCUCUAAGCGUGUGAAAGCACGUGACCCUUCGGGGAAUUUGCACAGGUGCUGCAUGGCUGUCGUCAGCUCGUGUCGUGAGAUGUUGGGUUAAGUC